GCGGAGUUAGUUCAGCGGUAGAACGCUAUCCUUCCAAGUUAGAUGUCGUCGGUUCGAUUCCGAAAAUGAUUAAAUCCGCA
rnacentral:tRNA from 1 species